CCUGAGGUGAGCCUGUUGCUUCCACCUGACUCUUCCACCGUACAGUUUCUGUGUUUGACCCUGGAGAAUGUGGACUGAAACUUCUAAAAUAUGACCAAAAUAAACCUCUCCAAGUUGCUGGAGGAGAGUGACUAAGACAGCAAAAAGAAAAAGCAGUGCUCACAUUAUCUAAGAAGCCAAGGUCAGCUGAAGGAGACUUACCUGCCCCCAGCAUGGUGUCUAGGGUCCAAUCCUUCUCUCCAUGAAAGAUGAGAAGAUUGGAAUUCAGGGAGAAUCAAUUUGCCUAUGACUACACCACUGGCAGAAGGAACGACACGUGCAAAUGCUCAAGCAGGAGCAUCCCGGCCUGUUUACCCAACACCAAGGUGCCUGAAGCCUAUGUGUGAGGAGGGUCUACAACAUGACACACGUGAUAGGACCUUGCAUGGAGUCCUGUGUAAACUAGAGACUUGCACCUUUCAUUCUGAGUUAAGAUGGGAAGCCACUGGCAGAGGUGUUUUGAAGAUGGAAUUCUGGGGUUUUUGGAGCUGGGGUGGGAAGUGAUGCAUCUGUAUACUGAGAUUGGCUUCAUAGAAAGUACAGAGAAGCCCAAGGAGGCUGAGUUACAUCAGGGCCAUUUGAGAAUUGUAUAAGAUAAUGCAUGACAGCACCUGGAACAUGUUUAAAAUUAUUCUUUUUGUGAAGUACUUCAUGUCCUGUGUAUGAAAGACACCCCACAAGACCGAAGACUACCUUCAGCACUCAAGGA